UACGAAGUUAUUACGAGUUGGAGCACGCCUGUCGGGACCCGAAAGAUGGUGAACUAUGCCUGAGCGGGGCGAAGCCAGAGGAAACUCUGGUGGAGGCUCGAAGCGAUACUGACGUGCAAAUCGUUCGUCUGACUUGGGUAUAGGGGCGAAGCACUAAUCGAACCAUCUAGUAGCUGGUUCCCUCCGAAGUUUCCCUCAGGAUAGCUGGAGCCCAUUACGAGUUCUAUCAGGUAAAGCCAAUGAUUAGAGGCAUUGGGGACGCAACGUCCUCGACCUAUUCUCAAACUUUAAA
rnacentral:ncRNA from 1 species